UAAGCUCACUACAGUUUCAAUGUGACUGAUGUAUCAAGUUGCAUUCAAUUUUGCUUUUCUGGCUGUGCAUAUACAUUAUGUGAAAUUCAUGGAAGUAAAUAAGAUAAUGAUUGCCAUUUGUGAUGGCAGUAAAACUGUGAAUAAUUUUUUAGUGUGGUCAUUGUUUCUUUUUUCACAUUUUGUUCUCCAUAAUAAGUAUAGAGCCCAUUUAAAAGAUUAGAUAUACAUGUUUAUUUCCCCCUUUGGUUUAUUUCCUCUAAUAUAACUCUUACAUGAUACUAUCAGGUGAAUAAAUUAUCAUGCAAAAUGUGUUAAGCCUGAGAGGGUUAUUUACUAAAAUGAGAAUUCCAAAUAAUGCAAAUUUAAUUGAUAGGAUACUAUAGUCACCAAAACAACUUUAGCUAAAUGAAUCAGUUCUUGUGUAUAGAUCAUGCCUCUAAAGUUUAACUGCUCAAUUCACUGCCAUUUAGGACUAAAACUUUUGUUUUUGUUAAUACAUCCCUAUCCACACCUUCCCUGGAGGUGCCUGCAUAAAAACAAAAUGGUUUCAUUUUCAAUUAAACGUAACUAACUUUAAAA